rnacentral:rRNA from 1 species
GAAGUAAAAGUCGUAACAAGGUUUCCGUAGGUGAACCUGCGGAAGGAUCAUUAUCGAAUAAACUUGAACAGGCUGUUGCUGGUCUUCUCCGUGCACGCUUGUCUCAUCUUUGUUAUUUCUCCAACUCUGUGCACCUUUUGUAGACCCUGGAGCCUUUAUGAAUUUUCUGAAAAUUCGAGUCAGGAUUGCUGUGCUGUAAAAAGUCGGCUUUGCCUUGCAUCUCCAGGUCUAUGUCAUUUUUCACAACCUCUCAUAUGUUUAGAAUGUUGGAAAUAUAAAAUUGAAAUAUAACAACUUUCAGCAACGGAUCUCUUGGCUCUCGCAUCGAUGAAGAACGCAGCGAAAUGCGAUAAGUAAUGUGAAUUGCAGAAUUCAGUGAAUCAUCGAAUCUUUGAACGCAUCUUGCGCUCCUUGGUAUUCCGAGGAGCAUGCCUGUUUGAGUGUCAUUUAACUUCUCAACCACAUCAUGACAUUGAUGUUGGCUUGGAUGUGGGGGUUCUUUUUUUUGCAGGCUUUCUGUGGAAGGUCGGCUCCCCUGAAAUGGAUUAGUGGUAUCUGAGGCUACUACUAUGGGUGUGAUAAAUAUCUAAGCCUUUGGUGUAUGCCGCAUGAACAGAUUACACUGCUUCUAACAAAACAAAUUUUUGAUGAAUUUUGACCUCCAAAUCAAGGUAGGGACUACCCCCGCUGAACUUAAAGCAUAUCAUAAA